rnacentral:misc_RNA from 1 species
CUUUUACGACCCCCACGGGAAGAAGGCAUUAGAAAAUAUAAUGUUCUUGCGGAGAACGCAUUGUUAUGACGACAUGAGCUAUUCCCGUCCUGCGGCGUCGCUCCAGAAAUAACUCCACACGAGUACUGGCUCGAUACACUGUUUUCUAUCUUAAUGAUUUAGAAAAGCAAUUAUGUUAUGCGUGUAUGAUGGCAGAUCUAUUUCUGUUAAAUGAAAUAUUUUAAUUUUAA